CGCAGGGGGAAGGUGAGAGCGCGCGCACCCCACUUCGUGACAAGUACGCCUGCGCAAAUCAUCUUCCCAGCGUUCCUGGCGCCCCUUCUGCCCCGCUUGAAGGCCUUGCCUAUCCUCUCUGGUGGCGUGUGCUUCGUCGUGCGACCGACUCUUGCGCUCACUUGACGGGUCAUGCUUCACCUGUCUGUGCUCUGCCGCCGUGCACUCCAGGUCGGCCUGCAACCCAGCCGCCACCUCGCUCACUCAGAGCCCCGGCACCAGCGGAACGCGUCCCCUGCUGAAAUGGCUGUUGGAAUUGUGGUGUUUUUUAGCACCUUUUAAACUCCAGCUGCAUAUGUGCUAAGCAAUCUGAACCAGUUCAGAAGAUGGUAGAUGGAAGAUGUUGAGCAGCAGUUGAGGUCCAAAAAACUUUCAGAAGAAACUGUGACUUUAAAUGAGCAGAAGUGCUUAAGUUGGGUUCAUUGUGGGCAUUGAGUUUCAAAACCAUAUGUUUAUGAUAAAUAUUUUGCACUUUUUUAGUACUGUGCAUUAUAUAAAUGUGUAGUCAAAAAACACUGUUCUGUUUAAAUGUUAAAUAAAAUUGAAACACUUAUUCAUGCUCUGUAUAUGUUUGAUCACAGAUUGUUUCCUUCUUUUUUUUCUUGCAGUGCUAGGGUUGAUCCCAAGGCCUAGUGCAUGCUAGACAAGUGCUCUAUCAUGCUAGCCUGCACAGAUGAAAAUUUACUUCUGAAAAAUACAAUGAUAACUGCUAUGAGAGAUUUACUGACUUGGAGUGACAUGAAGUACUAUUUCGUGGUCAUGAAUGUAUCUAGUGUCAUAAGGUUGCCUUUCAGGUUUGAAGCAUCACAUGUAGGUUUGAAUGUCACCCUGGAUGACUCUCGACAGCACAGGUCAACUCUGAGUCUCAGUUUCCAUACCUCAAUAAUGGAAACUUAAAAUUGCUCUAUUGAAGGGAUGAUGUGGAGAUUAAGACAUUGAACAAAGAUAAAGCAACUCUCAGCAUAGUGCCUGAAACCAAGUAAAUAAAUAAAAAUUAUUGUUGAGAAGCUGUUUUUAUGUUUCCUAAGACUUAUUGAUUUAAAAAAUACUGCUAUACAAGAGCCAAGAUGCAUUAUGUAAAGGUACAAUUCCCAAUGAGAAAUGUAAGUGUGUUGUAUACCUACAAUGUACCAAUAAAAGAAUUUAAUAAAAAAAAAUACUGCUAUAUACCUGUGAUGUGCCAGCUAUUACAUUUGUAUGAGGCCAGCAAACCAAAAGUAGACAUAUAAGUGUUGGACUUAUAGGUCUUAGAGAACAUACUUUAUUACUUUAAUAUUCUUACAUUUCUAUUUCAAAUUUACAUUGGUUGUCUAUAUACUUUUUUGUUGUUGCUGAGACAAAAAUAUCCAAAACCCAAAGUUAAAGGAGAACAUGUUUAUUUAGCUCACAUUUUGUAGAGGUUUCAGUUCAUAGUUGGCUGGCUUCAAGGCAGGGUGGUGUGGCAGACGCAUUGUAGAGGAGAAGCAGUUCAUGGCAGGCAGAAGCAGGAAGGCAGCAAAGUAGUGAAGUAGCAAAGCAAGCAGCAAGCAGUCAUAGUAGCCCUUUCUGUCCCUUAUAUCCACUCUUACGGGGAAUAGCACUCACACCCAGGGUGGGCCCUCCUUUUAUCCACAUUCAGAACUAUGCCAAGCCAAUCAGUGCACUAAUUUAGUAAUCACACAUCCUUAAUCCCAGCAUCACACACUAGAUCAGGCCACCACUGAAAGCCUCACCUGUGAAAGCAUGAGGUUUUGUGGGGACAUCUAGACACAAGCUAUAACAUUGGUAUUUCAGGUUUUUCUAGAGAAGCAAUCCAUU
rnacentral:lncRNA from 1 species